rnacentral:rRNA from 1 species
AUGCCGCGUGAAGGAUGAAGCCCCUCGGGGUGUAAACUUCUGUCAGGGUUUAGGAAUUCUGACCAAAGCCAAAGGAAGGACCGGCUAACUUCGUGCCAGCAGCCGCGGUAAGACGAAGGGUCCAAGCGUUAAUCGGAAUCACUGGGCUUAAAGCGUGCGCAGGCGGGCCUGUAAGUACCUUGUGANAUACCACCGCUUAACGGUGGAAUGGCAGGGUAUACUGCAGGCCUUGAGGCCGGUAGAGGUUGCCGGAACUGUAGGUGUAGCGGUGAAAUGCGUAGAUAUCUACAGGAACACCAAAGACGAAGGUAGGCAACUGGGCCGGUUCUGACGCUCAGGCACGAAAGCGUGGGGAGCAAACAGGAUUAGAUACCCUGGUAGUCCACGCCGUAAACGAUGUGCACUAGAUUCGAGAGGCUCUGACGCCAUUCGGGUCGAAGCAAAAGUGUUAAGUGCACCGCCUGGGGAGUACGGUCGCAAGGCUAAAACUCAAAGGAAUUGACGGGGGCUCACACAGGCGGUGGAGCAUGUGGCUUAAUUCGAAGCAACGCGAAGAACCUUAUCCUGGGCUUGACAUGCACGGAUACCCUCGCCGAAAGGCGAGUAAGUUGCCCAUUCGGGUGAAACGUGCACAGGUGCUGCAUGGCUGUCGUCAGCUCGUGCUGUGAAGUGUUGGGUUAAGUCCCUUAACGAGCGAAACCCCUGUCGCUAGUUGCUAACAGGUCUCCGGACGCUGAGGACUCUAGCGAGACUGCCGGUGUCAAACCGGAGGAAGGCGGGGAUGACGUCAAGUCCUCAUGGCCUUUAUGCCCAGGGCUGCACACGUGCUACAAUGGCGUGAACAGAGCGACGCAAU